AUUGAACGCUGGCGGCAUGCUUUACACAUGCAAGUCGAACGGUAACAGGCCUUCGGGUGCUGACGAGUGGCGAACGGGUGAGUAAUGCAUCGGAACGUACCCAGAGGUGGGGGAUAACGCAGCGAAAGCUGUGCUAAUACCGCAUGUGAUCUGAGGAUGAAAGCGGGGGACCGAGCAGCAAUGUUUGGCCUCGCGCCUUUGGAGCGGCCGAUGUCGGAUUAGCUAGUUGGUGGGGUAAAGGCCUACCAAGGCGACGAUCCGUAGCUGGUCUGAGAGGACGACCAGCCACACUGGGACUGAGACACGGCCCAGACUCCUACGGGAGGCAGCAGUGGGGAAUUUUGGACAAUGGGCGCAAGCCUGAUCCAGCAAUGCCGCGUGCGGGAAGAAGGCCUUCGGGUUGUAAACCGCUUUUGGAAGGAACGAAACGGUGUCCGCUAAUACCGGGCGCUAAUGACGGUACCUGCAGAAUAAGCACCGGCUAACUACGUG
rnacentral:rRNA from 1 species